rnacentral:tRNA from 1 species
GCAGGUGUGGCGGAAUGGCAGACGCAUCAGACUCAAAAUCUGACGGUGGCAACAUCGUGCGGGUUCAAGUCCCGCCACCUGCACUA